rnacentral:rRNA from 1 species
AAAAAUUUAUCUUUGGAAGAGUUAAUUAGGUGAAGUAAAACAUUCUAGUAACCUGUAAUAUAAAUCAAACGAGAAAAUGUUAGUAGUGGUGAGCGAAUAUAUUGUAAGGCAAAAAAGCAAGUAAAAUGUAUGAAUUCCAAAGAAGGUUUUAGUCCUGUAGUACUUUUUAUUUGUUUUUUAAUAAAUGACGGAUUAUGUUAAAUUUGUUGUUAAUUUAGGAGAUCUACCUUCGUGCCUAAAGUUUUUAAUGAUCGAUAGUGAACAAGUACCGUAAGGGAAAGGUGAAAAAGGACUUUUUUAGAGUGAAAAGAACCUAAAAUUUAGUGCAUUAAAGCUGUUAGAGCUAAUUAAUUAGUUAUAGCGUACCUUUUGCAUAAUGGGCCAGUGAGUUUAUAAGGAAGGCAAGUUUAAACUUCGUGUAGACAAAGAUAAGUCAAGAUUGUUUGAAAUAGUAGCUAUAGUCUUUUUUAUAAAACCCGAAGCUAAGUGAUCUAACCAUGAGCAGGUUGAUAUUUUUAUGGCAACGUAAUUUGGAGGACCGAACCCGUAUUUGUGGAAAAAAAUUGGGAUGACUUGUGGUUAGGGGUGAAAGGCUAAUCAAACUUAGGGAUAGCUGGUUUUCUGCGAAAUAUAUUUUAGUAUAGCCUGCAAUAAAUCAAAAUUUGGGUAGAGCACUUUUAAAGUAAAGGGGGUCGUAGACCUUACUAAACUUUGAAAAACUUCGAAUAAAUUUUUGAUACUUUUUGUGGAGUCAGACUAUCGGUGCAAAGGUCGAUAGUCCAUUGGGAAACAGCCCAGUAUAUUUAAUAAGGCCUUUAAUAUUAGUUAAGUGUUAAGAUUGCAAAUAACAGAGACGAUCAUAAAGUAGGCUUAGAAGCAGUCAUUUUUUUGAGAAAGCGUAACAGCUCAUUGAUUUAGUUAUUUUGUAUCAAAAAUUUAGUGAGUCUAAAUUAAUAGCCGACUUAGUAUUAUAGUUAGCAGAACGUUUUAUAUAUUGAUAAAGGUUAUUUGUUAAAAUAACUUUAAAUAAUAAAAGUGAGGAUACUGGCAUUAGUAGCUAAAAAUAACGAAAUAACGUUAUCGCCGUAAAUCUAAGGUUUUCGAUUCAAUUUUUAAAAAAAUCGUAAUUUUAAUUUAAAAAUAUGCGGUCCCUAAGGCAAAUUACAAAAGUAUAAGCUAAUGGGAAGU